GAUGAAGAACGCAGCGAAAUGCGAUAAGUAAUGUGAAUUGCAGAAUUCAGUGAAUCAUCGAAUCUUUGAACGCAUCUUGCGCUCCUUGGUAUUCUGAGGAGCAUGCCUGUUUGAGUGUCAUUAAAUUCUCAACUACACUGACUUUGAAUUGGUGUGGCUUGGAUUUGGGGGGAAAAUUGUUGUGGGCUUUUUGUAUAGUCUGCUCCCCUGAAAUUGAUUAGCGGUACCUUUGUGGAACUGUCUACAGGUGUGAUAAUUAUCUACAUCUUAGACAUCUGCUGGAAUGCUGCUUUCUAAACCUUACUUGUAUUGACAAUCUUGACCUCAAAUCGGGUAGGACUACCCGCUGAACUUAAGCAUAUCAAUAAGCGGAGGA
rnacentral:misc_RNA from 1 species